UGCCAGCAUAAGCGGUUAAACCAUAAAUUUCAAUUUACUUCUAUAGGUUAAAACUUUAGACAUAAAAAGUUAGUAAAGGUUUAAUUAUAUAAAUUUUUAUCCAUAGUGUCUUGAUAAAAUAAAUUAAUGAGGAAAACUGGAAUUAGAUACUCCACUAUUUAUUAGUUUAUUUAUCUAACCUAAAAACUAAUGGCGUCUUCACGUUUCAAAUUUAAAAAACAUGGCUGUGUUUAAUAAUCUUAGGGGAUCUUUGCCUUUGUAAACAAUGAUCCCUGAUAAUUUUCUCCUUUUUUUUCUUUGUAUAUCGCCGUUAUUUUAAUAGGAUAGUUUAAGUAUAGAAAAAGAUGUUUAUUAACUAGAAAUCAGGUCCAGAUACAAUAAAAAAGGUUUAAGGUAAGAUACAUUGCAAUGAACUUAAAAAUAAAUUUUUAAUUAGAUAGGACUUAAUAGUAAUAAAAAUUUAAAAUGUUUUUAUAAAAUUUUACUUUAAAUGAGUACAGAUUGCCCGUCACUCUUUAUUAAUUUUAAAGAUAAGUCGUAACAUAGUA
rnacentral:rRNA from 1 species